CGGGGCUCCACGGGGGUUCGGACGCUGGUGGGGUUGGGGCCGCGGCCACGCAGGCACCCCAGGGAGGGGGGGGGGAACCUGUCCCUGGUGCUGCUCUGCCUCCUGUUCCCCACCCCUCCAGGUCUUCGGGUGGGUGGGAGGAAGAGGAAUUGGAGGAGGGCCAGGAGGAGAGAGAGGACCAGGCCCCACCGGAUGUCCCCCCCGCGUCUUGGGCACAGAGGCUGGAGUGUGAGUGGCAGCAGGCUGUCCCUAGCUGUGCAUCUCCUACCUGGACACGGGAGCACUCUCCCCCACGUUGGUUUCCUGGAUGCCCCGCCUCCCCCUGGGUCUGCCGCUGAGGCCUGACCAGUCCCCUCCCCUUCCUGCUCACCUCUCAAGGCCCUGGCCCAGUCUCCCUGACCCCUUUCUCAGUCACCUCUUCCUGGCCGCUUCCUUGGCUUUCCUAACUUCUAGAACUUUGCAUCUUAGAACACCAAGUUUUAUUGAAAGCCUACCACGUGCCAGGUACGGAGACCGAGUGAUUUUCUUGCCCUAGCUCACCGUACACCAGCCUCGUCCCCCAAAGACUUCGACCUCUGGGGCCAGAGCUGUUUGCUACUUGCUAUUCACACUUGAACUCCUUGUCUUCCGUUCAGUGUGUCGUCCUCCGGGCAGCGGUGGGCGGUGGGCGGCCCAGCUUUGCCAAGCGCCUGCCCCGUACGGAGGGUAGUCUUUUGUGCGCCCCGUGCCAGCGCCCGGUGAACGCACCCUGACACGCACCCUCCUUGUUCUUCUCCCAAAGUUUUCUCUUUGCACCAUGUGGUUCUUGGCGCAGAGAGGCCUGUGAUGAGUGUGCCCGUCCCUUUCCAUCCAGGUCCAGGAUCCGGGGCCCAUCUCCCGGUUGGAGGCCAAGGCCCCCUCCGAAUGGAGCAUCCUGGCAUUCUGGUCCCCAGUGGCCCCCAAGUCAAUAGCCGCUGCCCCUGGCAAGCCCUCCCUGACUCUCGCGGGUCGCCCGGAUGGCCCAGGGAAACCCCAAGCAGGAACCCUCAGAGGAGACUCACCAAGUCUGGCUUCUGUACGAUCAUGUGACUCCACUCUGCUGGCCCGGAACGCGGCCUCUGUGCUUCCUCCGCAACACUCAAGCGUUCUGGGUUUCUGGGACUAAGCCUCUUCCCGGGGGUUCAGUGCUGCAUGGACACAUGAUGUGCCAUCAUCGACAGAUGGGCUGUUGUGCACAUUGAACAAGGGCUUGGCAGUCUCGGCACUGAGAUGUCCAGUUUGCUCCUCGCUGGAAGUUUGGGGCUCAGGGGGCUAAAGGAAGGAGGAACAUGGACAGUGAAUUUCCUUCUGGAUCCAAACCUCAUGAUUGCUAAGGCCCUUGCCAGUUCCAAAAGCUGUGACAUGUUGGCCAAGAGGCUUUGCAGUCACUGACGUCUCCAGACGUCUAUUUUCUCAAAUGGGAAACGGGGAUAUAGCCUGAGAGAGGACACCUCUGAACGCACUGCUGUACCGUCACGGGUUUGGGAGGCAGCCCCGCAGGCCUGUGGGACAGCCGCGAUGAGCGGUCACACGGCGGUCACACAGGGCACAAACCACACGGUGCUUCCUCCUGCAGUCCUCACAGUGGAUGACCCGCUUUCCCAGAUGCAGAAAAGACAGCACCAGGGUUAAUGAGUUUGUCCUCUCAGGCUACACCACUAGGCAGUGGGGAAGCCAGGACUCAAACCCAGGCCGUCAACACCUUCUAGAACGCGGUGCAGUUCCGCGCCUCCACCCCCGCCCCGGUCAUGCUGGUGCUUACCAAGAGCUGACCGUGUUGGUACCAAAUGUGCUUACACUGGUGUAUGUGUUAUUGCAAUUUGUCAUUUAAUUAAAUAUCAUGCAAACUGGUGAACCAAGUGUGAAAACAAGCACCGUUUCUAUGAAAACUAAGUCGAAUCCUUAGAAGUCUUGAUUAAGGUGACUCAAUUCAAAAACUACUAUUGAAUUAGAUGGGACCAAGACAAUUAUCACAUUUGGCUGCAAAAUAAUAAAAGUCUAGAUGAAUUUUGCACUUA